rnacentral:misc_RNA from 1 species
UUUAUAAUUUUCAUAAAAACAUAUUCGACUUUUAAAUAUAAGUGUUACAAAAAUGUAAUGGGCUUCAAGUGCACAGUGUGUGGGAUUGGGAUGUCGAGCCUCUUGCGAGCGCUCUUUCAUCAGCAAUAAUCCUUCCGCAGGUUCACCUACGGAAA